rnacentral:rRNA from 1 species
ACAAUGUUCAAUCCCAACUUUCUGAGUCCUAGUACGCAAGGAAUGGUCUCAGCGAUGCUCGACUAUAUUGGCCCCAUCGACGUAAUCAACUUCUGGCUGCUGCAAAGAAGGAGAACAAAAGGUUUCGGGAUUAAUACCUUCUCAGGUGCCAUGUGGGUGCAUAGCCCCUGGUACCCU